GAGUCUGCAGCCACCACGAUGCCUUCAGGAAAUGCUAGAAUUCAUCUAGAGUUCCAGAUUAACGUAUCCGCAACAUGGCCACCGAAUUAUCUUUUUUCUUUAUCUCAUGUGUAGUGUUUGUUAGUUUUAGAAGGUACAAAAUUGCAGAGUCAUGGCCCUGGGGAUGCGUGCCCAGAUUAUUCAUGUGUUUCACAAUAUUGA
rnacentral:lncRNA from 1 species